CUUAUCAUUUAGAGGAAGGAGAAGUUGUAACAAGGUUUCCGAUAGGUGAACCUGCGGAAGGAUCAUUGUCGAA
rnacentral:rRNA from 1 species